ACAAACAUUCAUGGUAUGCAAAAGCUCAGGCUGAUCUCUUGGAACAACAGGCUCACCAAAUAGUACUCUUAAAUACGACAGCGCCGAAAUGAAACGCGUUAAGUCUCGCAACUCGCGGUCAUCCCGCUCACGGAGAAUGUAAACUAUCACAUAAACUCUGAAUGGUGCUGUUAAAGCAGUUAACGUAAGCAGCGAGAUGUGCGAGAAUCUUUGAUAACUUGCUAAUGCGCUUAUUGUAAUGCUUUUUGCUAACUUUGGUUUAAAGAAUGAGUUAAUCCAGCCCAUCUUCCUGUCUGGCCUUUUCGCAGCAUAUAUUCACUCCGGAGUAACUUUACCAGGAGGAGACAGACGGAGAUUUGGAGUUCUGGUAUUUACGAGGAACAAAGAUGUUGUAGAAGUUCCAUCUAAAACAACAGGGCAAAUGGUACAGAAGACACCAGUUGAAGUGAACCCAAGUUGCCACUCUUCUUUGCAAAGUGAAGGAUUUUCAGUGGAAUUUCUAAAAUUCUGUUUCAGUGACUGGCGGAAACAAAAGGAGGCGGAAACAAAAGGAGUCUGAAAGAAGAGAGAGAAAAGAGGGAGAAACAAGUGGGGCAUUACAUAUCCAAAAAAAAAAAAAAUACAAUAAUAUAAUAUAAUAAAAAAAAAGAAAAAUGAGAAUGCAUAAUAUGUUAAGAAUUCUGUUAUUGUUCAUCUUCCCCAUUAAUUGUUAAUAUAGUUUUAGAAUUGUUAUCAUUAUUAUUUUGUAAAUAUUUUGUAAAUAUUUGUUA